CGGGGGGCAGCAGUGAGGAAUAUUGGACAAUGGGCGAAAGCCUGAUCCAGCAAUACCGCGUGAGUGAAGAAGGCCUUAGGGUUGUAAAGCUCUUUCAGCAGGGAAAAUAAUGAUGGUACCUGCAAAAGAAGUCCCGGCUAACUCCGUGCCAGCAGCCGCGGUAAUACGGAGGGGACUAGCGUUGUUCGGAUUUACUGGGCGUAAAGAGCGCGUAGGCGGCUUAUUAAGUUAGAAGUGAAAGCCCAAGGCUUAACCUUGGAACUGCUUCUAAAACUGGUAAGCUAGAGUAUGGGGGGGGACAGUGGAAUUCCUAGUGUAGAGGUGAAAUUCUUAGAUAUUAGGAGGAACACCGGUGGCGAAAGCGACUGUCUGGAACAUUACUGACGCUGAGGUGCGAAAGCGUGGGGAGCAAACAGGAUUAGAUACCCGAGU
rnacentral:rRNA from 1 species